rnacentral:lncRNA from 1 species
GCCACUCUUCUACUCAUUUCGCAAAAUCUCCACUCUAAUGGUGAUUUUCAGUUCAGACAUUUAUAUUCAUAAUUAGAUCUUCCAUGUUCUAUAAAAAUAUUAUCCGCAUCGAGUGUUUGUACCAAUGUCAUACAUUUUUCACUUUGAUGUGUUGAUUCUUCAAGUUAAUUGCUUGAUUUUGUGUACUUUUGGAAUGCGAAAAGUUGUUUUUCGAGUAGUUAAUGAUCAAAAAUGCUGAAGUUUUUUUUUUUCGAAUUCCACAUUUCAACUAUCAGUUGUUUUCUUUUGGUAUUUUAAGAAUCUAUGUAGCUGAUAAUUGUAGUAUGACAUUUGCGAAAAAUGAUUGUUCAGAUGUGUUUUUGAUCAUUUAGGGUUCAUAUUGUUAUCGCUAUGACGAUUAAAAAUAUAAAAAGUAGUGGACUGAAAAAUAUAUUGAUGAGUAAAUUAAUUCUGAGCGAUGCUUAUUUCAUGUUCUUAUUCAUCUUUUGUUAUAUUUUUUUUUUGUACAUUUUUUAUACUACAUCCCUGUGAUGAGUUCUUUUUCUAACUAUUUGCUGCUAUUUGAAAAUUUCUGAAUAUUUUUGUUCCAAUGAUUGUAGCCAAUUUAAAAAGUUUCUUUUUUUAUUGUUGAGAUUUGUUAUUAAUUGUGUUGUUUUCAGAUUAUUUGAAUCUCUGUGAUGAACUAGCUGAAUAAUUUAAAAGUAGUGGCCUGAUGACCAUUGAUGAAAAGCUUUGUUCUGAGGGAUUCCGCAGAAUGUUGGUUGGGUGGAGGGUGCUUAUUGGAGGAACUAGCUUUUUUGCUUUAAUUUUACCACAUAUGUAGUGUUGAUUUGCACGUAGAGUGGCACUCGAUAUCACGGUUGACCAGUUUUUUGUUUAAAGAUGGUGCCUUUUUGUUGUUAGACAUCGUAAUAUGGUAAUGUACCUCAUCUUCAAAUUUAUUGUUGUUAGAUGUUAGAAUGUGUCUUAUGUUUUACUUGAUAGACGGUCUGACUGAAAUAACCUCUUUACGAGGUAGGGGUAACCGGGUAAGGCUUCAUAGACAUCACGCUCCUUAGAUCUCACUUUUGGUUAUGUUGGAUAUGUUGUUGUUGAAUCCCUUUGAUGAACUAGCUGAAUAAUUUAAAAGUAGUGGCCUGAUGACCAUUGAUGAAAAGCUUUGUUCUGAGGGAUUCUUUGUUUACAUAUUCAGUCUAUUCUGCUUAACAUUAGGGACUUGAUGAGCUUUUGAUGCUAUGUUUAAACAUCUUUUUUUGCUUUAAAAUGGUGUCUUUGUCUUGUUAGGCGUUAUUGAUCUCGAGUCGUAUUGUCUUCUUAGUCAGUAAUAUGCAACCUGCAUCUCCAUAAAUUUUAGCUGAAGCCAAUUGAUAUUUAUUGCUGUGAUAUGUUAUAAUGUGUCUGGUUUCUCAUAAUUUUCUUUGAUACUUGUUGAACUAGCUGAAUAAUUUAGAAGUAUGGCCUCAUGCCAUUAAUGAAAAGCUUUGUUCCAAGGGAUUUCUUGUUUACUUAUUUAGUGGUAAUUUGUUUUUGACUUAAUUUUGCCACACAUGUACUGUCAAUUUGCAUAUACAAUGGCACGCGGUAUUAAGUUUAUACCAUGGUUAUGCCUAAAAAUCUAAAUAUGUGUUGUCUUCUUUCUUGUUAGGCAUCACUAUUCUGGAGUGCUAGUCAAUAUAUGGUUAUUUACCUCGUCUUUGAAUAUUGUUAUUACUGUGAUAUGUUAUAACAUGUCUUGAUUUUUCACAAGUAUUUAAAUCCCUAUGAUGAAGUUAGCUGAAUAAUUUAAAAGUAGUGGCCUGAUGACCAUUGAUGAAAAGCUUUACUCUGAGGGACUUGAUAUGGUAAAACUAGUUUUUGUUUUAGUUACAUUUGUUGUGUCAUUUCACAUGUACAAUUGUACGCGAUAGUAUUUUUAAGCAGUUUUUCUUGCUAGCCAUCACCCUUCUGUACUACUAUUGGUUUCUUAGUCAGUAAUUUUGUAAUAUGCUUGUAUUUAUACAUGGUAUAGACAGGUGAUGGUUUUUUUUUUUUUGUAGACAUAGUAGAUGUUGAACCUUAUUCGGCUUCUUUGUGUUUACUUCUUCAUAUUUUGAACCCGUAAGUGAAAAUCUUGGCCUUAACACUGUUUAUACAUACGAUGCUUAAUAAGAUACUUUCAACUGUCUUUGUGUAGAGUAACUGAUUAGUACAUAGAUAUUGCCAAAAGGUUCUGAUUCAAAUCCUUAAUUUGUUUGAUAUCUAUCCCUGUGUGAGAUUGUGUGGAGCCAAAAGAAAACAUAGUGAACUUGUUUUUGCUUUAAUCGACACCGUAUCGAUGUCGAUUUUCUUGUACAAUGGCCCUCAAUAUUUUAUUUAAUAUAUUUUCUGGUAUAUGUAGCUAAGAUACUUGUGAAAUGUUGCUUCAACCGUCAAUUCUGAGUUGUAUCAUAUUAUAGUCUUAUGAGUUGGAUGUGAAUGAAUAGAUUUUGUCAAAAGGUAUUUGUUCAGAUUCUUCCUUUGUUUGAUAUACUUGUCCCCUUGUUUGUGUUAAGUUCAAAAAAAGAGAACUUGUGAAGAUUGUACUUGACAAUGUUUGUUGCUUUAUUUCUAGUUGUCAUCCACAUCAAGGGUUCAAGUAACAAUGACAAUUUACUCGGUAUAAUCUCACGAGUAUUGUUUGGAGAGGAUAGAAUAUAUGCAAAAGUGGCGUUUCGAUCAAAAGAUAAAGGGUUCAAGUAAUACAACCCAAAAUAUAUGAAGGGAAAAAUAUGAGGAUAAAAGAUAGAGAACUAUAUAUGUACAAAAUUAGAAGAUUGAUUCUCUUGUUGUGCAUCCAAAGUUCUGAUUUCAGUUUGUGUAUUACAUAUUAUAUACUAUUUAUGAACAAUUUGAGUUUAAACAUUUUAUAUUGUCCUUUAUUUAAUUUUUUAGGGCACAUAAAUAAUAAUUACUUAUUGUAGAAUUCAAAUCAUAAAUUUAAAAUGUCUUCUUUCUUCCUUUAAAAUUUAUAGUUAAUUAAAUAUCACGUAAAUUGAAA